rnacentral:rRNA from 1 species
CAGUGGCGAACGGGUGCGUAACACGUGAGGAACCUGUCCAUCGGCGGGGGAUAGCCGGCCCAACGGCCGGGUAAUACCGCGUACGUCGGUUGCGGCGCAUGUCGCGACCGGGAAAGCAGCAAUGCACCGAUGGAGGGCCUCGCGGCCUAUCAGCUUGUUGGCGGGGUAACGGCCCACCAAGGCGACGACGGGUAGCUGGUCUGAGAGGAUGAUCAGCCACAUUGGGACUGAGACACGGCCCAGACUCCUACGGGAGGCAGCAGUGGGGAAUAUUGCGCAAUGGGCGAAAGCCUGACGCAGCGACGCCGCGUGCGGGAUGACGGCCUUCGGGUUGUAAACCGCUGUCGGGGGGGACGAAGCUCUGACGGUACCCCCAAAGGAAGCACCGGCUAACUCUGUGCCAGCAGCCGCGGUAAUACAGAGGGUGCGAGCGUUGUUCGGAAUUACUGGGCGUAAAGGGCGCGUAGGCGGUUCGGUAAGUAGGGGGUGAAAUUCCACGGCUCACCGUGGGACGGCCUUCUAGACUGCCGGACUUGAGCACGGUAGAGGCAGAUGGAAUUCCCGGUGUAGCGGUGGAAUGCGUAGAGAUCGGGAAGACACCAGUGGCGAGCGUCUGCUGGGCCGUUGCUGACGCUGAGCGCGACAGCGUGGGAGCAACAGGAUAGAUACCUGGUAGUCCACCCGUAACGAUGGGUACUAGC